rnacentral:lncRNA from 1 species
GAAGAAGAAAGAUACGAUCGAUCUCACGAUGAAGAUUUAAAAUAAAAUAAAUUCGCGUUAAAUAAUAAAUACAAUGGAGCUCGUUGAUUCGUCGUAUCUGCUAGACAUUUCUUUGUCAUUAAAAAAAAUAAAUAAAAAAGAAAGAAAGAAAGAAAGAAAGAGAAGAAGAUGAAGAUAAAAACGUUGCAUAAUAAUAAAUUGUAUAAUAAGCGUAGAAAGAUGGAAGGACAAUAAUCAUUACGAUGAAUCGACUAUCGAAAAAAAGAAUUUUCGAUGAUAAAUAGACGUGGCAAUGUUGUGACAUGGGGUACGCGACGCAUAUAACCAAUUCGAAGGCCACAUUACGUAAGGAUAAAAGAUUUAUCCGGAAUUAAUGAAUUAAACGAGGAAAAUUCGUUGCUUUAAUGCGACUUUUCAU